rnacentral:rRNA from 1 species
AUGAACGCUGGCGGCGUGCUUAACACCUGCAAGUCGAACGAUGAAGCCCAGCUUGCUGGGUGGAUUAGUGGCGAACGGGUGAGUAACACGUGAGUAACCUGCCCUUGACUCUAGGAUAAGCCCGGGAAACUGGGUCUAAUACUGGAUAGGAACGUCUACCGCAUGGUGGGUGUUGGAAAGAAUUUCGGUCAUGGAUGGACUCGCGGCCUAUCAGCUUGUUGGUGAGGUAAUGGCUCACCAAGGCGACGACGGGUAGCCGGCCUGAGAGGGUGACCGGCCACACUGGGACUGAGACACGGCCCAGACUCCUACGGGAGGCAGCAGUGGGGAAUAUUGCACAAUGGGCGAAAGCCUGAUGCAGCGACGCCGCGUGAGGGAUGACGGCCUUCGGGUUGUAAACCUCUUUCAGUAGGGAAGAAGCGAAAGUGACGGUACCUGCAGAAGAAGCACCGGCUAACUACGUG